ACUCCUACGGGAGGCAGCAGUGGGGAAUAUUGCACAAUGGGCGAAAGCCUGAUGCAGCAACGCCGCGUGAGGGAUGACGGCCUUCGGGUUGUAAACCUCUUUUAGUUGGGAAGAAGGGAGUGACGGUACCAGCAGAAAAAGCACCGGCUAACUACGUGCCAGCAGCCGCGGUAAUACGUAGGGUGCAAGCGUUGUCCGGAAUUAUUGGGCGUAAAGAGCUCGUAGGCGGUUUGUCGCGUCUGCUGUGAAAUCUGGGGGCUCAACCCCCAGCCUGCAGUGGGUACGGGCAGACUAGAGUGCGGUAGGGGAGAUUGGAAUUCCUGGUGUAGCGGUGGAAUGCGCAGAUAUCAGGAGGAACACCGAUGGCGAAGGCAGAUCUCUGGGCCGUAACUGACGCUGAGGAGCGAAAGCAUGGGGAGCGAACAGGAUUAGAUACCCUGGUAGUCCAUGCCGUAAACGUUGGGAACUAGAUGUAGGGGCCAUUCCACGGUUUCUGUGUCGCAGCUAACGCAUUAAGUUCCCCACCUGGGGAGUACGGCCGCAAGGCUAAAACUCAAAGGAAUUGACGGGGGCCCGCACAAGCGGCGGAGCAUGCGGAUUAAUUCGAUGCAACGCGAAGAACCUUACCAAGGCUUGACAUAUACCGGAAACGUCCAGAGAUGGUCGCCCCGCAAGGUCGGUAUACAGGUGGUGCAUGGUUGUCGUCAGCUCGUGUCGUGAGAUGUUGGGUUAAGUCCCGCAACGAGCGCAACCCUCGUUCUAUGUUGCCAGCACGUUAUGGUGGGAACUCAUAGGAGACUGCCGGGGUCAACUCGGA
rnacentral:rRNA from 1 species